rnacentral:rRNA from 1 species
CAGCUCUUCAAGUGGUCGGGGCUUUUAUUGGGCUUAAAGUGUCCGUAGCCGGUUUGAUAAGUUCCUGGUUAAAUCUGGCAGCUUAACUGUCAGCUCGCUAGGAAUACUGUCUUACUAGAGGGUGGGAAAGGUCUGAGGUACUCAAGGGGUAGCGGUGAAAUGCGAUAAUCCUUUGGGGACCACCAGUGGCGAAGGCGUCAGACUGGAACACGCCUGACGGUGAGGGACGAAAGCCAGGGGAGCGAACGGGAUUAGAUACCCGAGUAGUCC